GUCAUAAAAGGUGUCAAAAUUUAAUCGCAGUUUUCAAUUCAUUUUGUGAUCGUUAAUUUGCUUUAGAAUCUAGGCGUAUUUUUUUAAAUGCAAACACUGAGUCAAACUAAGUGCAGUAGAAAAACAGAUUUAAAAAAAUUCAAGGGAAGAAUCAAGUGUAGAAUGCAGUUAAGAUCGAUUUUCCACCUAACUGUAUGUGGUUGCUUUGACGAAACGCGAAACGUAGAUCUCGCAUAUUUAUAGAUUUUAAUUACCAGUAAUUGCUUUAAUUGAUCUUCUACAAUACAGUAAAUUACGAGAGAGAAAUCAUGCACAAACCCGUAUUUUUCCAUAUAUAUUCUUAAAAAGCCUCCAAUCUUAUUGCAACCAAAUGAGGCAAAAGAGAGCCAAUCAACCGUAAAUCUGUGGAAACAUUGAAUAAGAACAAACCGUCAGAAUGGAUAUGUGGAAGCGAAGCAGCGUCAAUUAAGAAAAUUCCUGGAUUAACGUAAAAAAGUCAACAGCUGACGAAGAUUACUGAAGCGCCAAUAAAUCAGACCAAAAAAAGUUAAAAGCCAUUAAUUAGUUACCAUACCAUUCAUUGAUGUUAAAAAAUAAACAUUUGACCUGCAAUAUUUCAUAUGUUCAAUAUACAUUUAUUUUCAA